rnacentral:rRNA from 1 species
UACCAGCACCCCGAGUGGUCGGUACGAUUAUUGGGCCUAAAGCAUCCGUAGCCGGCCUUACAAGUCCUCCGUUAAAUCCAGCUGCUUAACAGAGGGGCUGCGGAGGAUACUAUAAGACUAGGAGGCAGGAGAGGCAAGCGGUACUCAGUGGGUAGGGGUAAAAUCCGUUGAUCCAUUGAAGACCACCAGUGGCGAAGGCGGCUUGCCAGAAUGCGCUCGACGGUGAGGGAUGAAAGCUGGGGGAGCAAACCGG